CAAUGAAGACCCAAAGAGUUGGGGGACAGUUAGGGCCACCCCAGGCUGUCACAUCCCCCAACGGUUCUGGGCAACACACCUACUUCCACCCUCCACUCGGUUGGGCCUUUCACAGCUUCUCUGGGACCGGGAUCCCACCCAACCAGAGAGAGAAGCUCUCUGCCCUGGGCGAGGCCGCGGCCUACACCGCCUCCUGGUGGCCCUCACGUCCUUCUGGGGAGCCAGGCGCCCCUCUUGGGGGAGGAAGAGACCAUGGAGCUUCCGCCAGAGGAGCGGUGUUGUUUUUAAAAAGAGGCAGAGAGGCCUUCCUAACGCAGCGACGCGCCUGAGACACCCACCCCACGUGCGUUCCUGCUGCGGUGAGCCCAACUGCGUGCCUCCACCACGUUCUUCCGCCAUGUUUCUCCUCACCUGGGUCCAGAGCAGUGGAGUCCCCGCACCGUGGACUGAAACCGCAAGCCCCAAAUAAACUUUUCCUCCUCAAA